UCCGUGCUAGAAACGAUGAUGUUGGUGUCGCACAUUAGACUUGUGUUUAAAUAGAGCUUUGCUCGUGAACCAAAUAUGGUGGGCUGGGUUGUCUUUGCGGAAACGCUUAGGCGACUUGUCUACGAAUUGUAAUCAUAAUAUGGGCGGCGGUGAAUCCUUUGCAGACGACUUGAAUGGGAACGGGGUACUGUAAGUGGUAGAGUAGCCUUGUUGCUACGAUCCACUGAGGUUAAGCCCUUGUUCUAAAGAUUUGUUC
rnacentral:rRNA from 1 species